CGCUCCCGACCGUUUGCAUUUACAAUUCACCCCCUUUUUUAAAAACGUGGCUUUAGGUCUUACCGGUUGCUUCUGCCCCUGGCCUCCCUUCCCCCCGCCCCUCGCCUCCACGCCUGUUCCCUUUGCCCCGCCGCCCUCCUGUCCUGGCAGACACCCCACGUCUGCAUUUAAUCAGCCCGAGGUUUCCCUGCUGCUGCCAGCAAAGAGCUGCUCAUUGAUUUAUUUAUGCGCAUUUAUGCGUCUGUUAUUGCUCUAGAUCCUUGGUGCCCGGCGGCGGGCUUCUGCUUCCUGCCCCCGGGAAGCCUAGGGUUGCCCUCCGGGCCCCGGAGCCCGGCAGCCCUUGCAGCUCAGCCUGCACUCUGACUGCGGCCUCCGCGAACGGAAAGGUGCCUCUGCCCGGCCAAACCGCUCCGGGGCUGUCGGGCUCCGGGAUCUGGGCGGACACUGUGUCCCCGAGUCAACCGGCAUCGCAGCGUGUUGGGGAGGGGGAGGGGGAUACUAAGCUAAAUGCAACUUUUACCGCUGUUUACUCUCCCUUCCGCUGUCUCCUCCCCUGGACCAGUAACGCGAUCCAUAACCCUCUAGGUGGGGACCCCUCCCCUAGGAAUGUGGCUUUGGGCUCUGCCGAAUCCACCCUUUUACAGUCCGGACUGCGUGCGAACUGGGACUUCCCGGGGCAGGCUUGGCUUAAAGGUAAAUAGCCCUGACAAUUCUGCUCACAAGGAAGGAGCCAAGAGUUUAUCGGAUAUAAGGCAGUUCCCUCCACCGACCCACCAAAGGGGCCAAAAAAAA